AUGGCUGCUUACUAGAGUAAGAAGUGUAGUGUUAGUAAAUUCGAGUGAAAGUUGUACCUGAAGUUGUGUAUACCUGAAUUAUCUUUAAGUUUUAGCUGACAAUGAAAGAAGUGUUGUGCGUGCUCAGCUUUGCUUCUAUACAAUAUCAUUAGGACGUUUAUAUGUGUAAAAUGAAUAUAAAUACAAACCAACCAUCCGAACAAGCGUCGACGACCUUGAUUGCUGGCUCCGUGCCGUCUUGCUUGAGAAAUCGGAAUGAUCCACAAAGAAAUCGUUUAUUAGACAGAAGAGUAUCGUUCCCAGAUAAUGAACAACAGAUGGUUACAGGAUUUUUGGAACCGGCAAAUCCCUGGGAAUAUGCGGAUAAUGUGAACAAAGAAGAUUUGGUAGCCAAAUAUACUUCCUCAUGUAAAAAACAUGGAGCGAGGCCAAUCAGCCGGAUUAUUUCUCAGCUUCAGACGCUGGAUUAUGAUCAAGACCGAAACGAGUGUCUUGACCUUAAAGAUGAAAUACUUGGACCUGCGGCGUGUGAAACUCUGGAAGAAAUAUUGAAAAGAAUUCAGUUUGUAACAAUAAACCUAGAAGGCACAAACAUUGACGAUGAGUCAGCGGUGGCUCUUUUUGACAUGAUGGAAUAUUAUGAGUCAGCAGUACGGCUGAAUAUUACUGGGAAUCACUGUAUCGCAACGAGAGGUUGGCAAGCUUGUUCACGCUUGAUCAAACGGACAAAAUGUUUGGAAGAGCUGGAUGCCAGAAACACUACUCUAAAUGAACAAUUCAUGCCAAUUCUUAGUAGAGCUCUGCGGCUGUCAACGCAACUUCACGUCCUCAAGCUGGAGAAUUGUAACCUUAGUGGACGUCCGAUCGUAAUUCUUGCUGCCGCAUUGAAACUUAACACAGGGUUAAAGGAAUUGUACCUGGGAGAGAACUACCUGAUGCCAAACGAUGCCGCUCAGUUGAGUGCUCUGCUCAAAGUGAACACUGUACUCCAGCUGUUGGAUAUCAGCAAUAACAACAUACAGGACGAGGGACUGGGUCAGAUCGUUGAGGGGUUGUUGGAACAGAACACUGCGGGUGGAGGGUUGCAAGUGUUGAUAAUGUGGAACAACCACUUGAGUCGGAGUUGUGGACAUCAUCUGUCCCGGAUCUUCACGGCCUCUACAUCGCUCGAGACCGUCAACAUCGGCCAAAAUGUCCUUAGCAAUGAGGUUUUACAUGUGAACAAACUAGCCCUACAGCAGAACCGGACUCUGCUAAGAUUGGGAAUGCAAUCAACACACCUGACUUGUGAAGGAGCCGUUGCUCUGGCAGAGAUCAUAGCUGACAAUCGCACCAUUCAGAGGAUAGACCUGCGAGACAAUAACCUGCAAGUCGCAGGGUUGAUGGCGCUGGUGCUUUCUAUGAGAGUGAACCAGAGCGUGACACAGUUGGACCUGGAUGACAUGCCUCGGCGCAAACAUUCUAUGGGUCCAGCACUGGACGAAUACAUGAGGCUCGUAGCAGAAAUCAGAGGUCACUGUGAAGCCAAUUCUAAGACCACAGAAAAACAGGAGGAUGUUGUGGAAGAAGUAGUGAAAGAAGAGGCUUUGGUACCCAACAUAGAUCGACGGUCCAGAAUGGGUAGUUUUGCCACCAGAAAGAUCUCUCUGACGUGUGAGACGCUUGCCAGGAGCCACGCGAUGCCGACCCCAGAACCCAGUCAGCAGCUGUUGACGGAACCAAAGCGUACGGGAGGCAGGCUGCGGAGCCCCGCACCCUCUCCGAUUCCGAGUCCUGUUGCAAGCCCUUCUCCCACCCGCAGCAGAUUUCAAGUGUCACGAGUGUCCGAGUCCGAGUCUCCUGUUACCCCACCAUCAUCAUCCCCCAAUGUGUUCUUCGGCUCAAACUCAAGAUUUAAAGUGACUGUCGUGGACUCGGGCACGCCUACAAAUCCAACAACGGUUCUAACCUCAAAUAAUGUCACAGUCGGCUUUGAAACGUCUUCCACUCUUUCCCCAAAAGUGUCCGUAAGCCCGGCUCCAUCCCCUACUCCCAUUCCUGCCCCUCUGCUCUCUUCUAUUCCUUCACUGUUUCCUACUCCUAUGCCAUCACCCAUGCCUUCUCCUCUGGUCUCCCCGACUCCUUCACCCACCUAUAUUUCUCCCCUGUCUACAAUCAAUGUUGGAGAAGCACACCCACUGUUACCCUCACCAGCCGCCGCAAACAAUCAUAAAGAUGAUCUAUCUUCGUCGUCAGCUGAAGUUUCCAAUCGUCCAGAACCUGUUGUUAACGAAUCAGAAGUAAAAGAAUCAGUUGUACAAGAGAGUGAUAAAAACAAGUUCACUAAUACAAUAGCAAUUCCAGUACACAACUUGAGGUUAGAUUCAAGUAGCAGUUGUGAUAGAUAUGAAACAAUUAUUGAAGAACCAAUUCCAGACUCUAGUACGAGCAGCACAUCCACUGUCCAAUCGUUGCCAGAAAAAGAUAGCUUAAGCGGUAGUGGUAAAGUUAGUUCCCGUAGUAGUGUCUCACCACCAAAAGUAUGUAAAUUGAGAUCUGAAUCAGAAGAAAGUGAUUUGUACACGAAUAGAAAACUUCCUAAAGCAACGGACAGUUUAGAUUUGUCUGCCCUGAGAGUUAUGAAACAAGCAUCCGUUUCAGUACCUGAAAAACCACCUGUACCGUCCGCGAGAUCAAGAAAAAUUGCUUCAUGGGUGCAGCCAAGUGCUGUGUUUUCCGCCUUGACCCAGGACGACGGAGGAAAAACAAGUUCCGGUUUAGAAAGACUCUUAGGCCUUUUCACGAAUCCGUUUUCUCGGUCAAAAGCGGAUGAGGAGCCUACGCAACAGCUUGAACGUGUACCUGAAGUUCCAGAGGGUCCGACCCAGAUUUGUGAUAACCAAGUGGAAUCAACCUGUACAAACGCAAAUACCACUUUAAAUUUAACCGAACACUUAAGUAAAAUGUCAUUGUUGUCCUCGCUAAGUAAAGGUAUGCAACUGAAAAACAAUGAUAACCCGAAUGAAAAAUUCAGUGAAAUUCACACAAAUGAUAGUAUUAAAAACUCUUUGCCAAAUGAAAAUGAGGAUUGUGGUUUAAAAUCGGAAAGUAGGAGUGAUAACUGUCCCGUGGGGUCCUGUCCUUCGAGAAAUGGCUGUGAGCUGAAAUGUGAUAAGCAAGAUUUAAAUAUUCCUUUUCUUUUUAAUAAUAAUGACGGGUUGAGUGAUGCUGACACCGGAGGUGUCAAGUGCGAGACGUGGCCCCAGGGAACCAGCAUGACACAUCUGAGUCUGAUUCAUCAAACUCAGAGCCAGAGCUCUCCUUGCCUCACAGCUCUGGUCUUCCUCAACAGCAACGUAGCCACCAAUCUUGCAGGUGAGCAAUACUUAUUGUCAGUAGCUAAGAGUCCUUAACUGUUGGGUUCUGAUCUCCUUGCCUCUCAAGUCUGGUUUUCCUCAACAGCAACGUAGCCACCAAUCUUGCAGCUGAAAUAAAGAAGAUGUCUCCACCGGCCAGUGACGAUACAGUGGAUUCUACGAAAAAUAUUUCUUUAGCUCUGUGAACUUGAACCUACUACAGUAGAGGUAAAAAGGUUUGGAUAAAUCAAGUUUCAGUAAACGUAUACGAAAUGUCUUUUCAUUCACGAGGAGUUCCUGUUUUAAUCGUGUUACAUCCGUAAUCAGUUAAUUUCUUCCAAAUCAAGUUAGGCAGUGCAAAUUUCCAUUAGACUCUACGCGUAAAGGAUGAAGGAUAGACUGAAGUGAAAGGUGAUGUGAAAUAUGUUAAAAUAAUUUUUAAACUUUCUGGGAGUCACGUAAAUUAAAAUUUUAUCUUACACAAAGUACUCGAUAUUACAAUUUUGAUUAUUGCCGCCACUCAAAAUUAUUUUAAUUAUGCUAACUCAAUGAAGAUUUAUUCAAACAUUGUACUGCCGGCUUGAUGGGUACAGGAAUCUCGGAUUUCAGUACGUAAGGAUUGUUGUGUUAACAUAAUUAACCUACCCAUCUGUACUUAUUCACCUUAAAUGUUUGUAUUAAUUUUCCCCAUUUUAUUAUAUACUAAAAAGUACUUAGAUGAAACUGUAAAGUUAUUUAUUUAUGUGUACCUUUAAUUUUAGUUAUUACAAGUAUAAUACAUUAGCUGUC